UCCACACAUACAAAUGCCUUCCAAGGACUAAUCUGGAUUCGGGAGAAAGAGACCUGCUGAGCCCAGCAGUUGUGUAUCAGCUGGGAGAUUGCACCUGGGGAGAGAGUCAACAAUGAGUCCUGUCAUUCUAUAAUGUGGGUGACAGUUUGCAGCUCUGGAAAGCUGCAGUGAUAAUCAGAGAAAAGUCACUCACUAAGACAAGACUGGCUAAUUUGGAGAAUUGAGUCCCAUGCUUCUGUAUUAAGGCAGAAGAAGGCUUGGGAUGCUGGGUGUGACCCUCCCUCAACUGUGGAUGAGCUUUUGUCAUUGGAAAAGAAACUAAUAAAUUAGCCAAGAGGCCCAAUCAAGUAACAAACCUAUACAUGCUGUUUGCAAGACUGAUGACUCCUACCAACUCUUACAGGCUAUCCUACAUCAAGAUGAAUGCACUGAAUAAAAUUAAGCUCUAAGAAGAAAAAAAGUUUAGUGGAGCAUCAAGAAAAAGCACACACAAGGUCAUUAAACAAAGCAUCCAGCUUUACAAACCAAAGUAACCUGAAGUGGGGUUGCAUUGCCCAAACCUCCAGGCAAACAUUGCUGAGUAAAGCAUGGAAUGUGGGUCUGGGACUCACACGUUUGAGUUCCUGUUAAAGAGCAUCAAGGUUAUCUAUCAUUGCUUCUCUAAGCAAACCCUGAAGCCCACGCAUAGUGACACUUUAACAGAGCACCCCCAGGGUCGUGCUGAUUGCUUCAGGUUACAUUCCGCUAGUCGGAGAACUUUGAACCAACCAUUUUGUUUAGAAAACUUGUAAGAUGUUGUUAUCUCUUUAAGUUAAACAAACCCUUGGACAUACACA